rnacentral:misc_RNA from 1 species
GAUGAAGAACGUAGCGAAAUGCGAUAAGUAAUGUGAAUUGUAGAAUUCAGUGAAUCAUCGAAUCUUUGAACGCACAUUGCGCCCGCUAGUAUUCUGGCGGGCAUGCCUGUCCGAGCGUCAUUUCAACCCUCAAGCCCCCGGGCUUGGUGUUGGGGAUCGGCGAGCCUCCGCGCCCGCCGUCCCCUAAAUCUAGUGGCGGUCUCGCUGUAGCUUCCUCUGCGUAGUAGCACACCUCGCACUGGGAAACAGCGCGGCCACGCCGUUAAACCCCCAACUUCUGAACGUUUGACCUCGGAUCAGGUAGGAAUACCCGCUGAACUUAAGCAUAUCAAUAAGCGGAGGA